GAUGAACGCUGGCGGCGUGCUUAACACAUGCAAGUCGAACGGUGAAGCAGGAGCUUGCUCUUGUGGAUCAGUGGCGAACGGGUGAGUAACACGUGAGCAACCUGCCCCUGACUCUGGGAUAAGCGCUGGAAACGGCGUCUAAUACUGGAUAUGUGAUGUGACCGCAUGGUCUGCAUCUGGAAGGAAUUUCGGUUGGGGAUGGGCUCGCGGCCUAUCAGCUUGUUGGUGAGGUAAUGGCUCACCAAGGCGUCGACGGGUAGCCGGCCUGAGAGGGUGACCGGCCACACUGGGACUGAGACACGGCCCAGACUCCUACGGGAGGCAGCAGUGGGGAAUAUUGCACAAUGGGCGGAAGCCUGAUGCAGCAACGCCGCGUGAGGGAUGACGGCCUUCGGGUUGUAAACCUCUUUUAGCAGGGGAAGAAGCGAAAGUGACGGUACCUGCAGAAAAAGCACCGGCUAACUACGUGCCAGCAGCCGCCGUAA
rnacentral:rRNA from 1 species